AUUGAACGCUGGCGGUAGGCCUAAAACAUGCAAGUCGAGCGGGGUGAUGGUGCUUGCACUAUCACUUAGAGGCGGACGGUCGAGUAAUGCUUAGGAAUCUGCCUAUUAGUGGGGGACAACACUUCGACAGGAAUGCUAAUACCGCAUACGUCCUACGAGAGAAAGCAGGGGAUCUUCGGACCUUUCGCUCAUAGAUGAGCCUAAGUCGUAUUAGCUAGUUGGUGGGGUAAAGGCCUACCAAGGCGAGGAUCUGGAGCGGGUCUGAGAGGAUGAUCCGCCACACUGGAACUGAGACACGUCCCAGACUCCCACGGGAAGCAGCAGUGGGGAAUAUUGGACAAUGGGCGCAAGCCUUAUCCAGCCAUGCCGCGUGUGUGAAGAAGUCCUUAUGGUUGUAAAGCACUUUAAGCGAGGAGGAGGCUACUUUAGUUAAUACCUAGAGAUAGUGGACGUUACUCGCAGAAUAAGCACCGGCUAACUCUGUGCCAGCCGCCGCAGUAA
rnacentral:rRNA from 1 species